AAUUAAUAUAUAUAUAUAUAUAUAUAUAUAGAAUUAAGCUGGAAUACUAUUAAGGGCCUGUUUGGUUCGAGUUAUGUAAUAUUACAAAGUAUCUCGACAUAUCCAGAUGUCUUGGAUUUCGGCAUGAGAUUACUACUGAUGCUGCAUUAGAGCAUUUGGUUUAAUACAGUAAUGUAAUACUAGAUUACAGUGUUUAUAGCAUUAAUAUGUUUGGUUCAGUUUAUAAAAUUUAGUAAUCCUGACAUAAAAGUAUAGUUUUUUUCAAAAUUGCCCUUGUUGUGGUCAUUUGAAUAUUAUUUUUUACAGAAAUGACGAAUAGAGGGAAGGAGAUCGUGAUGAUUACUUGGGAGGACGACGUANNNNNNNNNNNNNNNNNNNNNNNNNNNNNNNNNNNNNNNNNNNNNNNNNNNNNNNNNNNNNNNNNNNNNNNNNNNNNNNNNNNNNNNNNNNNNNNNNNNNAUUGAAAUUUGUUGAUUUUGAACCCCUUCGAUCACUAAGCAAAUGAUAUCGAAAAAUAAUAAAUUUAUUUUCUAGGUACUCCAAAUACUCUAGAUCAACUUUAACGGAGCCGAUCGACGAUUCGAAAAUCGCAACUUCGAAAACAAGUUGGAAGCACGGAAGGCUCCGUGCUUCCGAUAGCAUAGUAGCCUCACUCUAUAUAUAUAUAUAUAUAUAUGAGUCCGGCUACUAUACUAUCGAUAGUACCAAGCCCUUGGUACUAUUGAGUUUUCUACCGUUAGAUCUAUCCUUUGAUCAUUUCCACUCGUUAGAUUAUACUAUUAAACCAACCACUCGCUCAAUCCUAGAAGACCACUAUUAAUUUAACCGAGAACCACUAUCAUUCUAACCGCACAUCUUUUCAUCCAACGGUCAAAAACUCAAUAGUACCAAGGGCUUGGUACUAUUGAUAGUAUAGUAGCAUAAUUCUAUGUAUAUAUAUAUAGAGCUAGGCUGGUAUAUUAUCGGUAGCACGGAGGCCUCCGUGCUACCAAGUUGUUUUCAAUGAUGUGGCUUCCAAAUCGACGAUCUGCUUCAUUAGACUUGAUCUACACCAUUGAAAGUAUUUGGAAACUAAAUUUCAUAAUUUUUCAGCAUCAUUUGGCUAGUGAUCAAAAGAUCUCAAAAUUGACAAUUUUAAUGGCAAAUGUGAUGCGUUUGUGAAUUUAACGGUGUAAAACAAUCCAAAUUAGAUGAAAUUUUUAUAGAAAAUUAUUUUCACUAUUUAGAAUAAGAUCAGUACCUUUAAUCUUAAAUUCAAGUCUUUUAUCAUUAUUUUUUAUGAGAUUUUUAUUUUCAGCCGUUCAUUUUUAGACUACUUGUUUGAUAGGUAAAUGAUGCCGAAAAAUUAUGAAAUUUAGUUUCCAAAUACUUUCAAUAGUAUAGAUCAAGUCUAACGAAGUCGAUCGUUGAUUUGGAAGCCGCAUCAUGGAAAACAACUUGGUAGCACGGAGGCCUCCGUGCUACCGAUAGUAUACCAGCCUAUAUAUAUAUAUAUAUAUAUAUAUAUAGAGUCCGGCUACUAUACUUUUAUGAGUAUUAGCUCCCUUAUAUUCAUAAGUUUUCGGCCCUUAGAUUUAUUCCAUUGAUCAUUUUCAUCCGUUAGAUCAUACUAUUCAACCAACUACCCACUCAACCCUAGGGGACCACUAUCAUUUUAAGUGGGGACCACCAUCAUCCUAACCACACAUCUCAUCGAUCAACGGUUAAAAAUUUAUGAGUACAAGGGUGUCUAUACUCAUAAAAGUAUAGUAGCCCCAGCCUAUAUAUAUAUAUAUAUAUAUAUAUAUAUAUAGUUGAGCUAUAAUACUAUCGGUAGCAAACGAGCUGCGUUGCCACCCAUUUAUUUUCGAUGAUGGAGGCUCCAAAUCGACGAUUGGCACCAUUGAACAUGAUCUAUACCACUUGAAAUAUCUAGAAAUCAAAUUUCAAAUCUUUCUGACAUCAUUGACCUAAUGAUCAAAGGGCUUCAAAAUUUGUAAUUUUAAUCGUCAAUAUGAGUCGUUUUCUCGUUUAACGGUGUAAAUAUAUCCAAAUCGAUUGAAUUUUGAUUAGAAAAUUCUUUAAACUAUUUAGAACAAGAUCUAUACUCUCGAUCUUGAUUACAAGAUUCCUAUCAUCACUUUUUAAAGAAUAUUCAUUUUCAGCUGUUCAUUUUGUGCCCACUUGAUGGAUAAGAGAGCAAUAUCGAAAAAGUAUAAAAUUUAGUUUCUAAAUGUUUCAAGUGGUAUAGAUCAUGUUCAACGGUACCGAUCGUUGAUUUGGAGGCUACAUUAUUGAAAACGAAUAGGUGACAAUGGAGCCCGUACCGAUAGCAUUCCAGCUCAACUAUAUAUAUA
rnacentral:lncRNA from 1 species